rnacentral:rRNA from 1 species
UCGAUUCGGGACUGUGCUGGCGCAAGCAACGUGCACAUCCCUUCUCAUCCACACACACCCGUGCACUUGUUGGGUGGCGCUCUCGAACGAAGCCGCUCAUUUUUCACACACGCCAUUGUCAUUUUGGGAAUGUAGUCAUUUAUGAAAUAUAAAUACAACUUUCAACAACGGAUCUCUUGGUUCUCGCAUCGAUGAAGAACGCAGCGAAAUGCGAUAAGUAAUGUGAAUUGCAGAAUUCAGUGAAUCAUCGAAUCUUUGAACGCACCUUGCGCUCCUUGGUAUUCCGAGGAGCAUGCCUGUUUGAGUGUCAUGAAAAUCAUCAACCCACUGUCAUUGACAUUGGGAUUGGACUUGGACGCUUUUGCUGCGGUUUUGUUUCGCGGCUCGUCUCAAAUGCAUUAGUCGACUCUGCCGGUCCACCUUUGACGUGAUAGACAUCGACGUCAAGGUGUUUCGGCUUGUGGAGCGGCUCACAACCGUCUCAGGACA